ensembl:lncRNA
AUUCAAUCACUUUGAGCAUUCUCUGUAUCUCUGAAUACAAAUCCAGUCAUUCCUAACCACAGCCAGAUAAGGUAUGUCACCGGCUGAACCAAGACCUGGGACAGGGCGGGAUGGAGACCUCACUGCACUUUCAGAAAUGGAGUUUGCAAGUAUGCUGAUAAUGAAUGAUCAGAAGAAUAAAGCUACUUUGAGCCCUAGCCCAAGAAGAUCUUAGCACACACAUCAGGAGAAAAGGCACAGCUCCAUUUUCUGGCCAGGAGAAAUACAAGCUUUCCCUUCUGCUGCCCUCAGCCACCACUUUUGGAAGAAUUAUCCUGGUUACAUCCUUCCGCACAAGCCUUUGAGCCUGUUACCCAAGACCACCUAGGUUUCAUCGAUGGGGAAGACACGGGAAGGGGUUCAAGCACUCCAAGGAAAAAAGAAUGUCAAAAUCUCCAUUGUCCUCCCUCAGACAAAGCAAGUUGUGUGACAGAACCCAGCGAAACCACAGUAGCCUUACUAAAGCCAUCUGGUUAGUUGGGUAGACAAAGCUGUAGGUUUGUGCUGUUGUCUGUUGAAUUGCGUCAUGUGAAAAACAUCCACCAAUACCCACAGAAAGAUGCAUAGUCAAAUAACCCCAGGAAAUAGAAAAAGAGACAGAUGGAGAAUUUGUCUGGCUAAUUUUCUCCCCUGUGGCUACUGCGAUGUUUCUGCUAGAAAGGAUGCAGAAGGAGGCAGAGUGAAUAAACGCAAACUGACUUUUUGAGACGCAUAGAUAACUGUAAUACUUCUUUAAGUCCACACAAAAAACACCAGUGAAAAGAAAUAGGAUUAGAAAAAGCCAUAAAAAAAGAUUUUAUAACUGAAACCAGCAAAAAAAGUAGAAUUUCAUUUUCAUCAUGGUGAAGUUCCUUGUUCAAUACUGCAAACAAGGAAUGCUUUCUGUCCUUACGUUAAUACCUUUGAAGAGACCUGUACACUCAAGGUGACAUAAGAAAGUAUUUUACCAAAAGGAGAGGACUUGCUUCCCUGGUGGCCAGUGAGAUGCUUUGUGUCUGUAGUCGCUCAGGGCAGAUGGUGUGUGCCCCACUGCCCAGUGGGUGCAGCAUGCCCUGCUUUCCUCUGCCUGACAUUCACCGAGGUGAUGUGGCAGCUGUUCGCUCCACUCCCCAAGGCAUGUUUUGAUCCGUCCUUUUUCCCUGCACCCCCCUUCCCCAUUCCCAGUCGAGGUUUCUGCCUUCUGUCACCUCUGGUGUUUUCCAAGGGGUGGAACUGCCAUUCAAAUCAUUUGCCUCUCCCCUGGUCGAGGCUGUGGGAUCCCCACGGCUGCUUUGGUCCCAUUGGGCAGCUGCAGCAAUGCAGCAUGGGUCAGUCCCAGAGCAACAAGAAGCCUGUGCAGGUUCUGUGCGUUUCUUGUUUGCUUUGUAACAUCUCUUUUUCCUCACUCACCACAUAGCCUUAAAAUCCUGUAUUUUUCUUAGCGUCUCUGGCUGCUUAGUCAAAUGUCAAAAAUACAACUGCUUCAGAGAACUGGUUUCCUUUUAUGUGCAAAAAGCAAAAGGCAUGGAAAGAGAAUUCUGUCUAUGUUAAGUAUUUUCUUUGCUUUUGUUCACAAAGGAAAGGAAUUAGGCUGUUAAAAUAAUAAUAAAACCUGAAACAC